GGGGGUGGGGAAAGAGUUAGAGUAUAGAGAGACAUCAAUUUUGAGCUGUGUCUGGAUUUACAUUCUAGAUCUACCCCUUCCAAGCUUAUGGGUCCUUGGGCGGGUAACGAAAACCUCUUUGGACCUUCAUUUUCUCGUUCGUAAAACAGGAGUAAUAACUGCUACCUCCCAAGCUUCUUUGAGUCAUUCAGUUAUUUAACAAAUAUUUGAAUGCCUAGUGGUUCCCAGGCACCACCCUAGACACCACCCUAGACACCAGGGAUACUGCAGUGAACAACAUACACAAAAUCUCUGAACUCAUAUAACUUAAUAUGCUGUGGGAGAUGCAGGUAACAAGGAAAUGAACAUUUUAAUUUCAGCUGGUAGUAAAUGUUAUGAAAAAAGUAAAAGAGGAUGAUGGGAUAGAGUGACUGAGGAUGAGGAGUGACUUUAGAUGGAGCGUUAGGAAAGCCUGUCCAAUGAGGUCAUUGGUCCUGAAUGCUGAACGGGGAAAAGAGCCAAUCGUGUGAAAAUUUGUGUGACCCAGGCAGAUGAAACAGCAUGUGCCAAAGCCCGGAGGUGGAAGAAGCCCAGUGUCUUUGAAAAUGUGGAAGAAAGCGGUCAG
rnacentral:lncRNA from 10 species